GGAUGUGAUCAUACCAGCACUAAAGCACCGGGUGCUUGGGCGAGAGUAGUACUAGGAUGGGUGACCUCCUGGGAAGUCCUCGUGUUGCAUUCC
rnacentral:rRNA from 1 species